GGUGCCUUUUCCUGCCUUUUAGAGUGCCUCUAAUGAAAUAUACCAACUUUUUUCAUCUUUUUUAUUUUACCCUUUUAUUUUUUUAUAUUUCCAAAUUACCUUUUUCAAAUAUAAAAAAAAGAAAAAUCAACAUGAAUUGCUAUCCCGGAGAACCAUUUUUCUUCUGAACGGAACAAGAAGAAAAGAGGAAGAGAAAGUGAGAGAGAAUGGCAAAGCAGCUACCGGAGAGAUUUUCAAGAGGAGGGACGAGCGAAGGAAGCAUCCUAGGCUCAGCAAUAAGCUCCGCCAUGCCCUUCCCUAUCUUGGCCCCAGAGUCGCCGCCUUCGACGUCUACCUGGUCAGCGAGCAGCAACUAAGCAUACCGUUUAAAAGAUCAAAUUCAUCAGCACCGUCGCCGAUUUUUGGUGCAUGCUCUGAAUUCAAAUCUUCGAGACUAAAAAUGAUGCUGAAUGUUGUAAAAUCUCUCACUGAGCAAUGAGUUACGGAAGGUAAUCUUUAUAUUUGGUAAGAUUUGCAUUUAAGUGGUUUUUUUAGUUUAUAUAUUUUCUUUGAUCACAGUUAAAUAGUCAAUUAGUCAUCGCCUUUCCAUGUUUAAUGCUGUAUGAUGAAAAGAAUAUCAUUCUAUAGUUUACAACUCAUGAUAUCAUUCUAUAGUUUACAACUUAUUAUAGUCCAUCUUUUCUUAUAUUAUGUUUGAAGAAAGAAUGUAACAGCUUUUUAUAUCACUUUUUAAUUCUUUUCCUUCUAAAAAUAUAUGUCAAUUCUCAAUACAAUAUUAUGCAUCCAUGGUCCUUUUAUAGCCAAAUGCAUUUAUCUGAAUGAUUAUGAGUCAAUAACCCUUAGCAGGACAUUUUAAGCCUAUUGGAAUUUCAUGACAUCUAUUCCAGUGUUGACUUAUUUUAUGAAUAUCGAUCCUAUAAUAUUGUGCUUUUGGGCAUUCACUUAAAUCUGACUCCAAAGAGACAUCCAAGCAUAUGCCUUGAUAUUCAAAUAAUAACUGUGUUAUAAUGUUUCAAUAGCAUGUUCUUUACAUAAUGGUCUGAAAUGGACUGUUGAUAGACGAAUAUUUAGGUUGCAAAGUAUUUUGAUGCUACCAUUGCAAAGGGAGCAGAUGUGAAAUUGGCUGCCAAGGAUUAUGGGUGAUAUUGCUGCCUAUAUGAAAAAUGAAAAGUUGACUAUUAAUGAGAUUAAGCUGACGCCUCAGGAGUUGGCUGAGUUGAUAGGUUCAAUACAAGCUGAUACUAUUAAUGGGAAAAUUGGAAAAGAGAUGGAUGCUUAGGAGAAGGAAAGGACCAUGGACUUGUAAUUCCAUAGUCACCUUGAUGGUUUGUUCUUUUAGCAAUAAGCUUUUAAUUGCCAAGAGUAUCUUUUUCUUUUAAGACUUUCAUUGUUCUAUCUUUCUUGGUUGGUUUGGCUCUGCCACAAUUUGAUGAUUUUUUGGGUUAAAAUUUUUUUAAGAUAUUAUGGUCCUUGAUCUUGGUAUCAAUGUGAAAAUAGGAAUGGUAACAAACGGGCCAAUCGGGCUGGGGCAGCCUCUCUAGCACCCCAUCCCGCCCCCUGAAAAAACCCCCAUACCCGCUCCAUAACUCGAUUUUAUUAGGGUGGGAUGGGAUUCCCCAACCAAAAAUAAGGCGGGGGCGCUGUUUUUUGUUUCCCCAUUAUUAAAAUAAAAAUUUAAUAAAAAUAUUUUUUAAAAUAUUUUUUCAUAAAAAAAUAUAAAAAUAUUUUUAUGAUGUCAUACAUAAUAUAAAAAUAAUUGUAAUAACAUUUGGAAUAUUAUAUAAAAACAAAAAAUUAACAUAAAAAAUUUCCAACAGGCUUAUCGGAAAUACCUGUCGAAACUUUCAUAAAAAAAAUUCCCCAUUAUUGAAAUUAGUGGCAUGGGACUUUCAUAAAACAAUCACACACAAUAAUAUACACAUGCAUGCUACCAGUCGGCAUGACAUUUUAGGUGGAAAAAGAAGUAAGCCAGUGCACUUGUAUAAAGGAAACUAGAAUAGAUAAUGGAACCAUUCAGAAAUUAAUUCUAUUCCUUGAUUGCAUGGACAUGCCCUAGUUAUAUUCUUUUAAAGAUUACUUCAUCAUAGUAGUAUUCUCAAAUCAAUUCACUUUUAGCUUUGGUGUAAUAAUGACUUAGUAGUUGCAAAUCGGCUUGUAUUUUCUUAUGAACAUUAGUCGACAGCUUUGAUAAAACCUGUGAUGUAUGCUAUUUGUUGAGAAUAUACAUCCAUUUUUCUUA